rnacentral:rRNA from 1 species
CCUACGGGGGGCAGCAGUGGGGAAUAUUGGACAAUGGGGGCAACCCUGAUCCAGCCAUGCCGCGUGUGUGAAGAAGGCCCUCGGGUUGUAAAGCACUUUCAGUGAGGAAGAACGCCUGGUGGUUAAUACCCAUCAGGAAAGACAUCACUCACAGAAGAAGCACCGGCUAACUCCGUGCCAGCAGCCGCGGUAAUACGGAGGGUGCGAGCGUUAAUCGGAAUUACUGGGCGUAAAGCGCGCGUAGGUGGCUUGAUAAGCCGGUUGUGAAAGCCCCGGGCUCAACCUGGGAACGGCAUCCGGAACUGUCAAGCUAGAGUGCAGGAGAGGAAGGUAGAAUUCCCGGUGUAGCGGUGAAAUGCGUAGAGAUCGGGAGGCAUACCAGUGGCGAAGGCGGCCUUCUGGACUGACACUGACACUGAGGUGCGAAAGCGUGGGUAGCAAACAGGAUUAGAUACCCUGGUAGUC